CAGUAGCCGCGGUAAUACGGAGGGAGCUAGCGUUGUUCGGAAUUACUGGGCGUAAAGCGCGCGUAGGCGGUUACUCAAGUCAGAGGUGAAAGCCCGGGGCUCAACCCCGGGACUGCCUUUGAAACUAGGUGACUAGAAUCUUGGAGAGGUCAGUGGAAUUCCGAGUGUAGAGGUGAAAUUCGUAGAUAUUCGGAAGAACACCAGUGACGAAGGCGACUGACUGGACAAGUAUUGACGCUGAGGUGCGAAAGCGUGGGGAGCAAACAGGAUUAGAUACCCGUGUAGUCCCUGUCUCUUAUAC
rnacentral:rRNA from 1 species